rnacentral:rRNA from 1 species
UAACGCGUAAACAACCUGCCCUUCGGAUGGGGAUAACAGCCAGAAACGGCUGCUAAUACCGAAUACGAUCUUUUCGUCGCAUGACGGAAAGAAGAAAGGAUGGCCUCUAUACAAAGCUAUCGCCGAAGGAGGGGUUUGCGUCUGAUUAGCUGGUUGGAGGGGUAACGGCCCAACAAGGCGAUGAUCAGUAGCCGGUCUGAGAGGAUGAACGGCCACAUUGGGACUGAGACACGGCCCAGACUCCUACGGGAGGCAGCAGUC